GUCCCUGUAGCGCAAUGGAUAGCGCGUUGGACUUCUAAUCCAAAGGUUUGUGGGUUUGAAUCCUACCAGGGAUG